rnacentral:rRNA from 1 species
AACGAACGCUGGCGGCAUGCCUAACACAUGCAAGUCGAACGAGACCUUCGGGACUGGUGGCGCACGCGUGCGUAACGCGUGGGAACCUGCCCUUAGGUUCGGAAUAACUCCCCGAAAGGGGUGCUAAUACCGGAUAAUUUCUUCGAACCAAAGAUUUAUCGCCUUUGGAUGGGCCCGCGUUGGAUUAGCUAGUUGGUAGGGUAAAAGCCUACCAAGGCGACGAUCCAUAGCUGGUCUGAGAGGAUGAUCAGCCACACUGGGACUGAGACACGGCCCAGACUCCUACGGGAGGCAGCAGUGGGGAAUAUUGGACAAUGGGCGAAAGCCUGAUCCAGCAAGGCCGCGUGAGUGAUGAAGGCCUGAGGGUUGUAAAGCUCGUUUACCCGGGAUGAUAAUGACAGUACCGGGAGAAUAAGCUCCGGCUAACUCCGUG